AAUGGCUGCAGUAAUUUGACUGUACAAAGGUAGCAUAAUCAUUAGUUUUUUAAUUAAAAGCUUGUAUGAAGGGUUGGACGAGAUAAAAUCUGUCUCUUUUUAAAAAAAUUAGAAUUUUAUUUUUAAGUUAAAAAGCUUAAAUUUUUAUAAAAGACGAGAAGACCCUAUAGAGUUUUAUAAUUUAAAUUUAUUAAUUAAUUUAGGUUUAUUAAUUUUAUUUUGUUUAAAUUAUUUUAUUGGGGUAAUAAAAAGAUUAAAAAAAUUCUUUUUUAAAUAAAUCAUUAAUAUAUGAAAAUUUUAUGAUCCAUUAAGUUUUGAGUAUAAGAUUAAAUUACCUUAGGGAUAACAGCGUAAUUUUUUUUUAGAGUUCUUAUCGAUAAAAAAGUUUGCGACCUCGAUGUUGGAUUAAAGAUUAAUUUAGGUGUAGAAGUUUAAAUUUUUGGUCUGUUCGACCAUUGAAUCUUUACAUGAUCUGAGUUCAAACCGGUGUAAGCCAGGUUGGUUUCUAUCUUUAUAAUAGUUUUAUAUUUUAGUACGAAAGGACCAAGUAUAAAGUAUUUUAAUACUUAAUUUAUUGAAUAUU
rnacentral:rRNA from 1 species